rnacentral:tRNA from 2 species
GCCCUCGUAGCUCAGCUGGUAGAGCAGCGGAUUCUUAAUCCGCGAGUCCCGGGUUCGAAUCCUGGCGGGGGUACCA